rnacentral:rRNA from 1 species
CACGUAGGGGGCGAGCGUUGUCCGGAUUUAUUGGGCGUAAAGAGCUCGUAGGCGGCUCGGUAAGUCAGGUGUGAAAACUCUAGGCUCAACCUAGAGACGCCACCUGAUACUGCCGUGGCUAGAGUCCGGUAGGGGAGCAUGGAAUUCCUGGUGUAGCGGUGAAAUGCGCAGAUAUCAGGAGGAACACCAGUGGCGAAGGCGGUGCUCUGGGCCGGAACUGACGCUGAGGCGCGAAAGCGUGGGGAGCAAACAGG